AUGAUGCCUUCACUGUCCGGGGUUGGAUGUUCUCUUUUCUGUCUCCUUCUGCUCUGGAGGAGAACGGCAGCUCAAAGUGUGGAGGUGCGAUGCUCUGUGGGGGGUCCAGUGGUGGAGCUGCACCCUGUUCAGGGUCUGCUGGAGAGGUUUGAUGCUGGUCCGGGCUGUGCUGCUCGAGAACGCGGGAACAAGGAAACUCAUGUGAUUGCAGUGGGGAGAGUGACAAAGAGCCCCGAAAACAAGGUGACGGUGUUGCUGAAGCCUUUAUCUCUGACCCCCUCCCCUCUCAGAGCCUUCCACCUGUUGCUCAGCUCCAAGCUCCCGCUCACCUGGUGGCUGGAGGCUGAGAGACUGCCCCCCAACCUCCCAGUGCUGGUGCAGGUCAGUCACAGUGUGCAGAAGAGUGUGAGGGCACAUUUAAAUGAUAUGCUGUGUAAUGAAUGUGACAUUCCAGUAUUUUCUUUCUCUUAA
rnacentral:lncRNA from 15 species